rnacentral:miRNA from 1 species
CAAAGCGUUUGGAUUCUGAAUCG